rnacentral:rRNA from 1 species
CAUGCAAGUCGAACGGAAUAAUGACUUCGGUUGUUAUUUAGUGGCGGAAGGGUUAGUAAUACAUAGAUAAUCUGUCCUCAACUUGGGAAUAACGGUUGGAAACGACCGCUAAUACCGAAUGUGGUAUGUUUAGGCAUCUAAAACAUAUUAAAGAAGGGGAUCUUCGGACCUUUCGGUUGAGGGAGAGUCUAUGGGAUAUCAGCUUGUUGGUGGGGUAAUGGCCUACCAAGGCUUUGACGUCUAGGCGGAUUGAGAGAUUGACCGCCAACACUGGGACUGAGACACUGCCCAGACUUCUACGGAAGGCUGCAGUCGAGAAUCUUUCGCAAUGGACGAAAGUCUGACGAAGCGACGCCGCGUGUGUGAUGAAGGCUCUAGGGUUGUAAAGCACUUUCGCUUGGGAAUAAGAGAGAUUGGCUAAUAUCCAAUCGAUUUGAGCGUACCAGGUAAAGAAGCACCGGCUAACUCCGUGCCAGCAGCUGCGGUAAUACGGAGGGUGCUAGCGUUAAUCGGAUUUAUUGGGCGUAAAGGGCGUGUAGGCGGAAAGGAAAGUUAGAUGUUAAAUCUUGGGGCUCAACCCCAAGCCAGCAUCUAAUACUAUCUUUCUAGAGGGUAGAUGGAGAAAAGGGAAUUCCACGUGUAGCGGUGAAAUGCGUAGAUAUGUGGAAGAACACCAGUGGCGAAGGCGCUUUUCUAAUUUACACCUGACGCUAAGGCGCGAAAGCAAGGGGAGCAAACAGGAUUAG